GUCUGUGUGAUGUUUUUGCCGAGGACAGAACAGGAAUGGAGUCUUAGAACUUAAUAAUUUGGAGAUAAAAUGACUGCAAUCAACUGCAGUUCCUGUUUUCUGGGAAAAGAGUAGGCUAGAGUUUUGAAAACAUUUGUAAAGUCAGUAGCAUCCAGGAACCCCAAUCAAGCACCAGGGACCCAUUGUGCUAGCCACUGUACAGGCAAGUCACAAAAGACAGCGCUUGCACUAAAGAACUUGCAGUAUAGGUGUCGGACCAUAGCUAGCAGGUAGAUGAGACUUACACAAUGUGAGGGGGCAGGAGAACAAAUCUCAGCUUGCCACUUGUCUACCAUACAUCAGACUGCACUGAUCAGCAUCACUCAUUAUUGCAGUAUCUGACUGCAGGAGUUGUCCACCUAUGAAGACAUAGGGAGCUAUUUCAAUGGAGCUCAACUCUGAAAAUGUGCUUUUCUUGCAAAAAUGCAGAUAGCAUGUAAGAGGUACUUUGUUGCUGCAGUUGUAUUCUCCUCCACAGGUUGGCAAUUACAGGGGAGACGAUCCAAGAACAAUGUGAAUGACGGAAUAGCCAGUUAAUAGGAGAAAAUGGGCACACCUCUUUUCAGAGCUAAUGAGCACGACAGAUUUAGUAAAAUGGAGGUCAUAUUUCACCUCCUCAAUUCUUUUCCUGCUUGACUCAUGCUUCGAGCACUACAAUUUCUCUCCACAUAUGCACAGAGGUUCUGCAAAUAAUCCUGCCCAGAAUGCCCUCAAGCCUAAGAAAGUGAGACAGGCUCGAAAGACAAACAACCCGGGGAAAAAAAAGGGAGCUGAGAGAUGAACACAUAACAUGACUGGGCCCUGAAUCAUAGUUGCUGAGUUCCGCAGCAUACCAUUAUAUCCUGAGCUCCUCAAAUACCAUUACUCACAGAACAAGCAAAUCAUGUGAGCUUUUGUUAUGAAAUCAGGGGGAAAUGUCCCCUUCCCCUACUUUAAUCCCCUUUGCCCAAAUCUGCCCCCUAUCCUUCAGUUCCCCUCCCUGAUAUGCUUCCCACAAUACCUCCUUUCUUUCUGUUGUGGUCUCCCCCACUCUUUUCUUCCCAACUCAUUUGUCACUGAUAUUACUCUCUCCCUCACUCUGACUGGUCCACCUACAGGACAUUGCAGACUACCACUUCCUCUUUCUCUCUCACGGAUCCUUUUUUUUUUCCUGACAGCUUGCUGCAGGAGCAGGGAAAGAGGUAA